AGCACACAUCUCAGCAGAAGCCAGACCACAAGCCUGAUUUAGAGGGAAGCUGGUGACAGGAGGGCUGUGCCUGUCAAUGGCGAGUACCCCGGGAGCUCCAUUCGGUUCCUUCUGGCUCCAGUUCCAGCUUUGACCAUCAGCAAAUGUCUAGCAUUCGAGACAGCACCCUUUACCUGCACUGAUGAAUAAUCUGUGGACGGGAAUUUGGACAGGGUACGCGGGGGAUGUCUUUUCUUUGCCUCACAGCCUAGAGCACCCCAGCUGGAGAGAUGGGACGUGCAUGUAUGUGAGAGACGGAGUCCACAGUGGCCAGAGGCAUUGGAGUUUCCUGGAGCUGGAGUUACAGAUGAGCAGUCUUCCUCCCUGCAUUGCCACAGGGCAUGAAGAAACAGGUUCACCAACCUUCUGACACUUCAAGGUUGGUGGUUAGAAAAGCAUUAUCUGUCGAGCAAGUCAUCACUGGUAAAGCUAGUUAGAUAAUGAACAGGUGGGUAAAUAUAAAGAAGAUAUAUGCUGAUUUAUGUACAGCAGAAGUUACUUACAAAUGGAGCUAUAGGUCUCGAAACCAUGAAUCAAAAAAUCCUUACAGUGAUGUUGACACAUUA